CGUGUGAUGAUGAGAGGCGCAGGGGUACCGACCUCAGCCAGAUGAUGGGGGCUGAGUGCUGCUGCAGAACCUGAUCAGGAACAUGUGGUUCUCCAUCAGAAUCAGCAGCAGCGCGACACAGACGCCUGACUGAACG
rnacentral:snoRNA from 1 species